GACGAACGCUGGCGGCGUGCUUUAAUACGAUGCAAGUCGAGCGAGGCCUUGGAAUUGGAGUCCUUCGGGAUGAAGAGACCUUGGCCUAGCGGCGGACGGGUGAGUAACGCGUGGGCAACUACCCCAAAGUCCGGGAUAACAGUGGGAAACCGCUGCUAAUACCGGACUGGCUUUACCUGAGGGCAUCCUUGGGUAAAGAAAGGUUACGCUUUGGGAUGGGCCCGCGUCCCAUUAGCUAGUUGGUGAGGUAACGGCUCACCAAGGCCACGAUGGGUAGCCGGCCUGAGAGGGUGAACGGCCACACUGGGACUGAGACACGGCCCAGACUCCUACGGGAGGCAGCAGUAGGGAAUAUUGCGCAAUGGGCGGAAGCCUGACGCAGCGACGCCGCGUGAGCGAAGAAGGCCUUCGGGUCGUAAAAGCUCUGUCCUUGGGGAAGGAGGCGAAAGCUUGACGGUACCCAAGAAGAAAGCCCCGGCUAACUACGUG
rnacentral:rRNA from 1 species